AAUACGCUCCGUGUUUCAGGGGGAUUUUUCAUAUCCUAAGCUUUCUGAGAAGCCAUGCAUGCAUAAAGCCCUCCACUUAGGACAGUGGGCUAAGUUUUCUUAUA